AGAGUUAGCCGUCUCUUCCUCUUGAGGUACUAUCAACCUUGCACGCUUCUCACGCACAAGGCUUGCUCCCUCAUGACAGCGGUUUACAAUCCGAAGACCUUCUUCCCUCACGCGGCGUUGCUGGGUCAGGCUUUCGCCCAUUGCCCAAUAUUCCCCACUGCUGCCUCCCGUAGGAGUCUGGACCGUGUCUCAGUUCCAGUGUGGCCGAUCAGCCUCUCAGCUCGGCUACCCAUCGUCGACUUGGUGGGCCGUUACCCCGCCAACUAUCUAAUGGGACGCGAGCCCCUCCUCUGCGGAUUGCUCCUUUGACCUCAUCCCGAUGCCGGGUCGUGGUCUUAUGCGGUAUUAGCAUCUGUUUCCAAAUGUUAUCCCCCUCAAACGGGUCAGGUUGCUACACGCGUUACUCACCCGUUCGCCACUAGGUNUAAAACCGAAUCUUACACCCCGUUCGACUUGCAUGUGUUAGGCACGCCGCCAGCGUUCGUCCUGAGCCAUGAUCAAACUCUGA
rnacentral:rRNA from 1 species